rnacentral:rRNA from 1 species
UACGUAGGGGGCUAGCGUUGUCCGGAAUCAUUGGGCGUGAAGCGCGUGUAGGCGGUCCGGUAAGUCCGCUGUGAAAGUCGAGGGCUCAACCCUCGAAUGCCGGUGGAUACUGUCGGGCUAGAGUACGGAAGAGGCGAGUGGAAUUCCUGGUGUAGCGGUGAAAUGCGCAGAUAUCAGGAGGAACACCAAUUGCGAAGGCAGCUCGCUGGGACGUUACUGACGCUGAGACGCGAAAGCGUGGGGAGCAAACAGG